GGCUUAACACAUGCAAGUCGAGCGGUAACAGAUCUAGCUUGCUAGAUGCUGACGAGCGGCGGACGGGUGAGUAAUGCUUAGGAAUCUGCCCAGUAGUGGGGGACAACAAUCGGAAACGGUUGCUAAUACCGCAUACGCCCUACGGGGGAAAGCAGGGGAUCUUCGGACCUUGCGCUAUUGGAUGUGCCUAUGUCGGAUUAGCUAGUUGGUGGGGUAAGAGCCUACCAAGGCGACGAUCCGUAGCUGGCCUGAGAGGAUGAUCAGCCACAC
rnacentral:rRNA from 16 species